rnacentral:rRNA from 1 species
AACGUAGGACACGAGCGUUAUCCGGAGUUACUGGGCGUAAAGGGCUCGUAGGCGGUUUGUCGCGUCGGGAGUGAAAACACUGGGCUUAACUCAGUGCUUGCUUCCGAUACGGGCAGACUAGAGGUAUGCAGGGGAGAACGGAAUUCCUGGUGUAGCGGUGAAAUGCGCAGAUAUCAGGAGGAACACCGGUGGCGAAGGCGGUUCUCUGGGCAUUACCUGACGCUGAGGAGCGAAAGUGUGGGGAGCGAACAGG